UGGGGAAUUUUGGACAAUGGGCGAAAGCCUGAUCCAGCAAUGCCGCGUGUGUGAAGAAGGCCUUCGGGUUGUAAAGCACUUUUGUCCGGGAAAGAAAAUCCUUGGCUCUAAUACAGUCGGGGGAUGACGGUACCGGAAGAAUAAGCACCGGCUAACUACGUGCCAGCAGCCGCGGUAAUACGUAGGGUGCAAGCGUUAAUCGGAAUUACUGGGCGUAAAGCGUGCGCAGGCGGUUUGCUAAGACCGAUGUGAAAUCCCCGGGCUCAACCUGGGAACUGCAUUGGUGACUGGGCAAGCUAGAGUAUGGCAGAGGGGGGUUAGAAUUCCACGUGUAGCAGUGAAAUGCGUAGAGAUGUGGAGGAAUACCGAUGGCGAAGGCAGCCCCCUGGGCCAAGUACUGACGCUCAUGCACGAAAAGGCGUGGGGGAGCAAAACAGGAUUUAGAUACCCCUGGUAGUCCACGCCCUAAAACGAUGUCAACUAGUUGUUGGGGAUUCAUUU
rnacentral:rRNA from 1 species